GUGGUCGGCCGAGAGUGCCCACGACCUCAAGGGACUCGGCUUCACUGACAAUGACCUCAAGAACAUGUCUGUUCGCUGCCCAGGGCGGUGUGGCGUGCUUUCGUCGGCACCGCAACAUGACCACUGUGGUGCGAGCCACGGGUGAAGACGCUGAAACCCGAUGCACUCGUUCGGGCCCGCCACCAGUCUAGGCUGGUGGCCAACUCUGGUGCCUCUGCCUCAUCAGAGAGCAAGACCGUCAUCGCAGCACCCCGGAGCGGCAGCCCUGGGUCUACCAAGACUUAGGUUGUAUUGCUUAGGGUGAUGUUGGGUUGAAUAAACGGUUAAAUAGCCAAAUGCCUCGUCAUCUAAUUAGUGACGCGCAUGAAUGGAUUAACGAGAUUCCCACUGUCCCUAUC
rnacentral:ncRNA from 1 species